rnacentral:lncRNA from 1 species
CGCCGCGGUGGUUCAAGUUUGCGAUGGCGCCGCCACUUCCCACCUGGGCCUCACGCGUGCACCUUGCCUGCCUGCGCCUCUUCGCCUCAAGUCGGCUUUUACCUCAGGGGCUCUGGAGAGCCCAACCUGGCCGACGCCGGCCUUCCUGAGGAGAACUCCUCCACCUGCCUUGCCCUUGCUCUGUGACAGCUCUUCCUCAGGUUACCCCUGUGGUCUCUCCUCAGGAAGUUUGCGCUCUCUCCCAAUCUCCCUUCUCAAGUGCAAUGGAAUGCCCAAGCCAGCCCUCGGGGCCUGUUGCCCUCCUGGAAAGAUCUGGCGAUUGAGGACCCGCCCUAUCUGCUCUCUGGACCCACCAGGUCCUCUGUACCUCGCUUUAGUCUUUGGUAAAAUUCAUCUCUUGGGGCAGCAAGAGAGAGGACAGAAGGGAGAGUGGUUGGUUCUCCACAAACUUCUGUGUUAAGAGUCAGAUUGGGCCUGGGCUCUUGUGACUUGGGCGAUUGACUGAACCUUUUCUAAGCCCAGUUUUUAAUCAUCUCUAAAAUGACAGGGCCAGGACCGAAAGAGACUGUAGCUCAGUUGUAAAGUCACGCUUGCCAGACAACCCCGAAGCCCUAGAGAGAGGGAGGAAGGAGGGUGACCAGGGAGGCCAGAACUGGGUGUCAGAAGACAUGAAGCAGGAGUUGCAGGAGAUGGUGAGCACCAGAGGGUGCUGGGGACCAAAUUCUCUGGUCCUCUAGAAGAGCAGCAAACGCUCUUAGCUGCUGAACCUUCUCUCUAGUUCCUACCCCACCCUCACCCCCAUUUUUAAAGCAGGAUUUUCUACUUUUGGGCUCAAGAAGUUCUUCUGCCUCAGCCUUCUGAGUGGACACACCACACCACACUUCACUGUGCAGUCUAUGAAGCUCAGCAGCAAAAUGCUUACCUAGCAUGUUUCAGCAGUAGGGCUACUAAAGAAGAGGAGGAGGGAGGAGGAAGAGGAGCAGCUAGAAGCAUCUUUGUCCAAACAGUAUG